ACCUCCUCUCGUUCCACAAGCCAACGCAACCGCCGCCUCCUCGCCUCCGCCUCUUUCUCCGGGGGCCUUGCAGCUGCAGCAGGAUGGGAGUCAAGGGGGCGAGCGGGAUGGGCGGCCAGCUGGUUUCUUCGCCAGAUCUGCAGCCGAGGGGCGACUCCGGACCGGGGAGUGGCGGCAGUGGCCAGGCCUAGUGGUGACGGGACAAUGAAGUGGUCGGAGGCGCUGCAUCGGCGGCAAGUUGGUCUGCAACGACAGCAAGACGAGGGAGAUCGUGCACCCGCGGUGCCAAAGCUCAAGGGCCAUUAGGGAGCUGAACUCAGAUAUAUCCACCGUGCAGGACAAUGCCUUGGAGCUCCUGCUAUGUGGCUGUGGUUCUGGUCUUCUUUCCUGUACUUAAAUCUCGUGUUUGUUCGAUCUUAUAGGCUUCUUCAUAUUUUGCAUAUUCAUCAAGACGUGGCAGUCUACUCUGCUAUUUUGGCUAUCAUGGUCAAAAUAGCAGUAUGGAAUAAAUGAGACUUCCGGUCAAGCUACUGAUAUUAAGGUGUUCUUAUGUUUUUUUGGUGGGCUUUCAAGCCGCUUGUGUUUGCAUUUUGUCCAAAACUCAUGAAGAUUGAAGGAUCUUCAGAAGAAUAACCGGCAUGGCAUAUGGGUGCACGUGUGGAGCCAGUUCAGAGCAUACGUAGUAGUAGCAGUCUCAAGGUAAUGCAUUACAGGGCAUGUACAAUUUUGAAAUUGUAAAAUUCCACUAUGGCACUAAGGUGCUGUCUUUUGCUCUCCUCCCUGCAAAUCUAUGAUUAUUUCCUGAUAUAUAUAUAUAUAUAUAUAAAUGUAGCUUCUUAUAUAAUUAAUAGACUGUAUUAUGAGUGUAUUCAUGUUCUAAAAUCAACAAUGGUGGUAUCUUGGUAGAACUAAUGCAUUUCCUUAUGAUUUACUAUCCUGACUUAAAAGAUAUUGACUGAUUUUACAGCUGCUGUGCACAUAAUACGCUGCUAUAUGUUUCGUAGUAUUAUCCUUCUAAGAACAAGUACCGGCGCUCUGUUUUGCUAAUCCAAAAGGUGCAGCUUGUUAUUGUCCUUCAACUAUGCUUCCAGCAUAUAUGUGUUUUAACUUCUUGAUCCUUGUUUUGCUAUGCUUAACCUUUCAUACCCAGAUUUUUGGAUAAACUAAUGGUAGAAUUUCUUACCUUUGCCAUGCCUUGCUUUGCAUGCUUCAAGAAGCUUUUCAGAAUAUUCAGUUAAUUGUGCUGGUUGUUCAUAUCCUUAGCUAUUUUGCAGCUUAUCUGUCAAGUAGGUUUUACACUUUCGACAACUGGGAUAAUCAUGCUGCAAUUGCAUGCGAUGCUACUUCUAUAUUGUUGUGCUCUGAAAUAUAUUUUCAAAGGCAUAACCGAUUGGUCAAAAUAUACAGCUUGAGAUACUUUCAGUUUAGUUCAUAUCAUAUAUAAUUUUAGUUUGUCGCACGGUAUUUUUUUAAAAAAAUUAUUAGCUAUCAAGGCAAGGAUAAGACAUCAGGACAAAGAAGAGUUACCCUAUGCGUUUUUGGUGAUGUUGCAGAACACUCUUGAGAAGCGAUAGCUAGGUAUUAUGACGCAUAUCUUCCUUCUCUGUUCAAAGCUUGCACAAGUGAAAACCCUGAUGUUAUACAAUGUGGAGUACAAUGGAUCCUACGGCUCGGCUUCGCGGCCGGGAUCAGGCAUCGCUGGAUCGGUGGAACCAAAGGUGGGUUGUGGAAGACUGCACCGGGGAGCAUCGAGCCAUCGACCGAACAAGGUCUUAGAGUCGUUUAUGAUCCCGUAGGCCUCCGACAACAUCAAUAAUAAGGAUAGGAGUUGUCUGCUUCAUAUCGCCUCUGUCUCCACCUACGUUUCAGUUUGCAGGACGUGUUCGAGGGUGGCUUCUGCUUGUUCAUGAAGGCAACUAAGAAGGAGAAUUUGAUUAAAUUUCUUGAAGGAAAGAAAGAUUUUAUUUUCAGGCAGGUAUGAAACUGUGAAUGUCCUGUAGUUCAUGUUGAGGGUGGCUUCUGCUUGUUCAUGAAUGCAUCGUAAAGCCUUGACAGCAGUGUAGGUGUUCUUUGUGUUGUUCAUGUUGAGGGCAUUGAUGAUGAGUUGCUAGAGCGUCUUGAUUGGUUGGGGAACCUGGCUAUUUAUGCUUCUCAAUUUUCAUAUUUGUAUUGGAACUAUUUACUAAAUUAUAUGCCGACACAAGUUUAGUAUCUUUUUGAUAAUAUAUUAGUUACGCAUCUGAUCUAUGUCAGUUCGUUGUUGUCCAAGACAAAAUGUUUUUAUUUGAACACCAUACAUACUUAUCGGCAUAACAAAACACAACUAAUGCAUACCCAUAAUAAGCAUUAAUCUGUACUUUUGAUUUUAAGGUCUGAGUCGAUCUAAAUUGCUCAGUUGAUAGCUCUGUACUAUACUUUUUGUAAAAAAAUAUAUGAAUUAGGACUCCAUCGCUUAGAUUUGUCGAAGCAACUAAGUUGUUGUUUCUCGUCAUGUGGUUGGGAGCUUUUCUUGAGCCUUUGUUUGCUUUAUGACAUUGAGCUCUUUGAAAGGAGGCGAGAAGUAUUUUGAGAUCUUCCUCCUGAAGAACAUCUUGUUAGAACAUGCCCAGAUUAGUUGUUGUGCGUGUGGUGUUCGUGCUACUGGAGGUGUGCAUGUGUGCUAGAUGUGUGGUGUGAGCCUACGCCAAUAUCAGACCUUGCAACAGCCUUCCUGUCUACAGGGGGGGGGGGGGCUGGCGCCGUUCCGGUCGUGGUUCGGCAACCUGCAUCUGCAUUGGGAGGACGGCGGUGCCGAUGGUUUGGGAGCUGAAGCCGUGUGGCGAGGAUGGCGGUGGCGGAGGAGGAAGAGGGCGCCGGCGGCUUUCGGUCACAUGGGUCAAAGGAGAGCAAGGGGACGGCAGCACCUUCUUCCCAUCUUCACCUAGAGUGCUAGCUACCUUUCAAACAUGGAAGCUUAGGAGAAAGCAUGUAAACCGAAGACAGGAAGCUUACCUGUUCGAUUCAGCAGAUUUGGUUUGCUCUAUUUGUUAAGAUCUUUCUCUGCUGCACGAGAACUUAGAGAUGUAACAUCAAUGUGGUGGGCAUAGAUCAGAAAGGCAAGUUCUUGUCAAAGGAAAUCUUCACCUACGUAAAGGUAACCUUAAUAGCCUCUCUUAAAUUUUGCAACAGGCAGCCAUUGUUGUAGCAUGGAGCUCUAGAGUAGUUAGUCUAGAUUCAACUCUAGAGUAGUUAGUCUAGAUUCAACUGAGUUACAAGUGCACAUUUGUCUAGUUAUUGCUACCUUUUUUUUGGAAGAUUUUAGACUUACUAUCCUGUGUUAAUUUAAGGACUGGCUAAGUUUUGUUGUUCGUUCCCGUUCUCGGGUGCUGUCCGGUGGGUCAGUUGCGCUCUUCAGCGCCUUCGUCUUUGUUGUCUCCUACACCUUUGCCUACACCCUCACCCACUACCACGACUCCUGCAGCAAGGUAACAGGUCUCUGCCUCGCCCGAUCUCCUUCGCCAGUUUAUAUGCAGAUGGACGGCUGCAUGAACAGAAAGACAAUGGUGUCCGAGCUUUGUUGCAUUGCGUUACAGGACGAGAACCUCUUUUAUUUCAUUUCCAGUUUCACUUUUUUUAGAACAUUUCCAGUUUCACUCUGCCUCUUUUUUUUACUUGGCUGGACUAAAGCAAAGUAGCAACAUUUACGUAAACAGAAUUGGGUGUUUUCUGCUUUCUUGUUCCUCCAUUGUCUUCUGCUGGUGUGUUGCCUUCACUCGUAUCUCCAAAAGCAAUUUACUGCCCCUCCAAUUC